GGGUUGUGAGGUUAAGCGACCAAGCGUACACGGUGGAUGCCCUGGCAGUCAGAGGCGAUGAAGGACGUGCUAAUCUGCGAAAAGCGCCGGCGAGGUGAUAUGAACCCUUGACCCGGCGAUGUCCGAAUGGGGAAACCCAGUGUGACUCGUCACACUAUCAUUAACUGAAUCCAUAGGUUAAUGAGGCGAACCGGGGGAACUGAAACAUCUAAGUACCCCGAGGAAAAGAAAUCAACCGAGAUUCCCCCAGUAGCGGCGAGCGAACGGGGAGGAGCCCAGAGCCUGAAUCAGCAGGUGUGUUAGUGGAAGCGUCUGGAAAGGCGCGCGAUACAGGGUGAGAGCCCCGUACACGAAAAUGCACCUGGUGUGAGCUCGAUGAGUAGGGCGGGACACGUGGUAUCCUGUCUGAAUAUGGGGGGACCAUCCUCCAAGGCUAAAUACUCCUGACUGACCGAUAGUGAACCAGUACCGUGAGGGAAAGGCGAAAAGAACCCCGGCGAGGGGAGUGAAAAAGAACCUGAAACCGUGUACGUACAAGCAGUGGGAGCACAGGUUUACCUGUGUGACUGCGUACCUUUUGUAUAAUGGGUCAGCGACUUAUAUUCUGUAGCAAGGUUAACCGAAUAGGGGAGCCGGAGGGAAACCGAGUCUUAAUUGGGCGUUAAGUUGCAGGGUAUAGACCCGAAACCCGGUGAUCUAGCCAUGGGCAGGUUGAAGGUUGGGUAACACUAACUGGAGGACCGAACCGACUAAUGUUGAAAAAUUAGCGGAUGACCUGUGGCUGGGGGUGAAAGGCCAAUCAAACCGGGAGAUAGCUGGUUCUCCCCGAAAGCUAUUUAGGUAGCGCCUCGUGAACUCAUCUCCGGGGGUAGAGCACUGUUUCGGCUAGGGGGCCAUCCCGGCUUACCAACCCGAUGCAAACUGCGAAUACCGGAGAAUGUUAUCACGGGAGACACACGGCGGGUGCUAACGUCCGUCGUGAAGAGGGAAACAACCCAGACCGCCAGCUAAGGUCCCAAAGUCAUGGUUAAGUGGGAAACGAUGUGGGAAGGCCCAGACAGCCAGGAUGUUGGCUUAGAAGCAGCCAUCAUUUAAAGAAAGCGUAAUAGCUCACUGGUCGAGUCGGCCUGCGCGGAAGAUGUAACGGGGCUAAACCAUGCACCGAAGCUGCGGCAGCGGCACGCAAGUGUUGUUGGGUAGGGGAGCGUUCUGUAAGCCGUUGAAGGUGUGCUGUGAGGCAUGCUGGAGGUAUCAGAAGUGCGAAUGCUGACAUAAGUAACGAUAAAGCGGGUGAAAAGCCCGCUCGCCGGAAGACCAAGGGUUCCUGUCCAACGUUAAUCGGGGCAGGGUGAGUCGACCCCUAAGGCGAGGCCGAAAGGCGUAGUCGAUGGGAAACGGGUUAAUAUUCCCGUACUUGGUGUUACUGCGAAGGGGGGACGGAGAAGGCUAUGUUGGCCGGGCGACGGUUGUCCCGGUUUAAGCGUGUAGGCUGGUUUUCCAGGCAAAUCCGGAAAAUCAAGGCUGAGGCGUGACGACGAGGCACCACGGUGCUGAAGCAACAAAUGCCCUGCUUCCAGGAAAAGCCUCUAAGCGUCAGGUAACAUCAAAUCGUACCCCAAACCGACACAGGUGGUCAGGUAGAGAAUACCAAGGCGCUUGAGAGAACUCGGGUGAAGGAACUAGGCAAAAUGGUGCCGUAACUUCGGGAGAAGGCACGCUGACAUGUAGGUGAAGCGGUUUACCCGUGGAGCUGAAGUCAGUCGAAGAUACCAGCUGGCUGCAACUGUUUAUUAAAAACACAGCACUGUGCAAACACGAAAGUGGACGUAUACGGUGUGACGCCUGCCCGGUGCCGGAAGGUUAAUUGAUGGGGUCAGCGCAAGCGAAGCUCCUGAUCGAAGCCCCGGUAAACGGCGGCCGUAACUAUAACGGUCCUAAGGUAGCGAAAUUCCUUGUCGGGUAAGUUCCGACCUGCACGAAUGGCGUAAUGAUGGCCAGGCUGUCUCCACCCGAGACUCAGUGAAAUUGAACUCGCUGUGAAGAUGCAGUGUACCCGCGGCAAGACGGAAAGACCCCGUGAACCUUUACUAUAGCUUGACACUGAACACUGGUCCUUGAUGUGCAGGAUAGGUGGGAGGCUUUGAAGCGUGGACGCCAGUCUGCGUGGAGCCGUCCUUGAAAUACCACCCUUUAAUGGCUGGUGUUCUAACGUGGGCCCCUGACCGGGGUUGCGGACAGUGUCUGGUGGGUAGUUUGACUGGGGCGGUCUCCUCCCAAAGAGUAACGGAGGAGCACGAAGGUUGGCUAAUCCUGGUCGGACAUCAGGAGGUUAGUGCAAUGGCAUAAGCCAGCUUGACUGCGAGCGUGACGGCGCGAGCAGGUGCGAAAGCAGGUCAUAGUGAUCCGGUGGUUCUGAAUGGAAGGGCCAUCGCUCAACGGAUAAAAGGUACUCCGGGGAUAACAGGCUGAUACCGCCCAAGAGUUCAUAUCGACGGCGGUGUUUGGCACCUCGAUGUCGGCUCAUCACAUCCUGGGGCUGAAGUAGGUCCCAAGGGUAUGGCUGUUCGCCAUUUAAAGUGGUACGCGAGCUGGGUUUAGAACGUCGUGAGACAGUUCGGUCCCUAUCUGCCGUGGGCGCUGGAAGAUUGAGGGGGGCUGCUCCUAGUACGAGAGGACCGGAGUGGACGCAUCACUGGUGUUCGGGUUGUCAUGCCAAUGGCACUGCCCGGUAGCUAAAUGCGGAAGAGAUAAGUGCUGAAAGCAUCUAAGCACGAAACUUGCCCCGAGAUGAAUCUUCCCUGAGACUUUAAGUCUCCUGAAGGAACGUUGAAGACGACGACGUUGAUAGGCCGGGUGUGUAAGCGCAGCGAUGCGUUGAGCUAACCGGUACUAAUGAACCGUGAGGCUUAACCUUACAACGCCGAAG
rnacentral:rRNA from 1 species